AAGACACCCUUACAGUGCAAGACUCGCUUCAGUGGGGCUUUGGUGCUCACUGAGUCUGCCCUCUGAGUGUGUCCUU
rnacentral:pre_miRNA from 1 species